CAAAUUCAGUUGCUUGAGCAUCAUGGACUAGAGUGUAGUGCCCGUUGGUCCAGCGUCGCAGCUCCCCGGCGCACACAGGGGUACUUGAGCCUAUGGGAGGGAACAAAUGCCAGGGAAAACAAUGAAGUUGACCAGUACUUCAGUCCUGCUAAGCUCUAGUUGUCCCCCCGCACCACCCCAGAUUUACAGUACAGCUCUGAACUUCAAAAGCCAGCAACAACCUGUCUGCUCUGCAAGUACACUGCGAAACCAGCCGAUGCUUCAGGGAAGAUAGUGCUCUGAACUCACUCUUCAUGUGAAUCCCAGGCAGGUACAUCAGAAUUUGGGAAAGCCUUUCUUUUCUCAUGGCCCCAGCUCAGUUUUCAAUCCAUGCAGCCUCAAACUAUGCCUUCCUCCUACACAAGUUCAAAAUCACACAGCAGGAGCAUUGUAGAUAGAAAAAGCAAAUGUCUAGCUGUGGAAAUCAGAAAAAAAAACAACAACAAAGCUUUUGUACCACUGAAGUAUUUGGGUGGGAUUUUCAGUAGGACUCGGUUUUUGAUCCCUUUUUCUUCCAAUGUCCAUAAAACAUUUUAAAAAAUUCUACCCUUAAACUUCAAAGCUACUGCCUUAAACAGCACCGGUCCAUGAUUCCAAAAUUAAUAUUAUUGUUUAUAUACGAUAUCUUAUUGCUGGCAAUUAAUUGGUUGUUUAGGCUGGCAGCAUUUUCUAAAAGGUUAAAUCUUAAUUUUUAGGUAUUAGUUUUCUAAAUCCAAAAUUACCUUUACUUCUAAUCUCUUCACUUCCUUCUAUUUGAUUUGGUCUCUCAUAUAAAAAUCUAUUUUAUAUGAAGCAGGAACAUGUGGAUGUAGAAACCAUGUAACUAUUGGCAAAGCAUUAUCGGGCAAUCAACACCCUUCCCUCCUCACCCAUCCUUUAACUCCUGCAGAAGUCUUGUCCUAUAGACUUGGGGCUGACAAGGUCUGUUCAAAAUGCUGCUCCAAUGCAUUAUUUUAGUCCAAAUUCUUCUGCAAUGGUCGGUUUUUUUUUGGAUACCCCAUCUGACAUGCUCCAAAUCCCAUGUUUGUGCCCUGCGCUUGCUGCAGGUGAAAUUCUACUUCCAUGAGAAUCUCUAGGAAUUCUGCUACCAAAACCCUUGAAGUCAGGAUUCUGCUCUAGUCCUUUCAUGCUGCUGCUGCUCCACUUACCAUUCUGUGUCUCGCUGUCUUGUGCUUCGGGGAUGUCGUCAGGCUGAUGGGCACUGCCAUCAGCGUGUUGCUCAGUCCCAUCCUGCCUGGGUUUGGGACUGCUGUGCCCAGCACUGUCUGCUGCUCUUCCUUCCCCAGCAUCUUCAUCCUCAUCGGAAGGCGCCAAGAAGUGCAGCUUCAGGCCAGUGAAGUUGGAAAGCAGUAAAAACAAAGCCUCUGAGCGUAAGAACUGCAGGAAGUUCUUCAGGAUAUCAGGGAGGCUGUCCUCCUCUGCUGCCUCGUAGAGUCUGAAAGAUAGCAGAGGUAUCAGCAGUGGGGAACCGAUGGCCACGUUGGUCAGUGCAGCCUCACGGCAGCUCCUGCUUGGCAUGGUCGAGUUCCCUGAGUGCUCCUUAGCUGCGAGAGCUUGAGGGACAGGACUGUUAUUACACACGGAAUGAAUAACCACAACAGUGAGAAAAAUCAAAAUGAAUAAAAGGCAGCUCCUUGCCUGGUGGAAAGAGACUGGAGACACUUCAAAGAAAACCAGCGUGUUCCACGAAGGCAUUAAUGACUUGAUGAUUUUCUGCGGCUGAAAGUGUUCUGAGGAGGAAGAAAGCAUACUCUGAUUAAGAUAAGAACUGGUGCUUGCGAGGAACUGACAUUUCUCUCUGCCUACAUGAUAUUGUGACAGGUGAGACACCUGGGUGUAAGGUAUGGAGCUCAGAGCAAGAGCCUGAUGAGCAAUCAGUGAACUUUUAUUGCUGGAAAGGAAAGUUAUCUUCGUCACAUUAAAGUUCCAAGCACAGUUACCGGCUUCACUUCUAUCCUGCCUCCAUUCUUGGCUCCUUCAAAGAAGCGGGGAAAAAAAGGAUUCCCCUCUUCAUUGGCCUCUUUUUCCUCUGCUGUCACCCACCAGCCGUGUCUGCAAAGACUACUACAGCCCCUCUCCAAGGUGCAAAUUUUAUCCAUAUGUCAGCUUUUCUGAAUUAAGAAUAAAUUAUUUAUCUUCCUUGUA